rnacentral:lncRNA from 1 species
AAAUACGGUUUACACUUAGCGUUUCCCUUCGGGAAUUAUUUUUAUGAGUUUCGAUAAAAGAGUCUGAGAUAAAUAUUUGGUAUAUAAAAUUCAUUUGAGUUUUGGUCACUAAAGAGUGAAGUUAUUUAAUAAAAACAAUAAAGGGUGUUGCGACGUGAAAUAAGCUGUGUUGGUUUGGUGUAGUGUUUUACUACAAGAAAGGGUCUACACGUCACCAUCUCUACUUUGGAGUCGCCCAAGCGCCCAGUUGUUUUACAAGGUGUUUAUUCUAUUUUUAUGAUUUAUUUUGAUUAUUUUGGACUAUUUUGAAUUUAUUUAACGUAUUAAAAAUUAUAAAAUUAUUUAAAUGAC